rnacentral:rRNA from 1 species
AUACGUAGGGGGCGAGCGUUGUCCGGAAUGAUUGGGCGUAAAGGGCGCGUAGGCGGCCGCUUAAGUCUGGAGUGAAAGUCCUGUUUUCAAGAUGGGAAUUGCUUUGGAUACUGGGGGGCUUGAGUGCAGGAGAGGUUAUCGGAAUUCCCGGUGUAGCGGUGAAAUGCGUAGAGAUCGGGAGGAACACCAGUGGCGAAGGCGGGUAACUGGACUGCAACUGACGCUGAGGCGCGAAAGUGUGGGGAGCAAACAGGAUUAGAUACCCUGGUAGUCCACACGGUAAACGAUGAAUGCUAGGUGUAAGAGGUAUCGACCCCUUUUGUGCCGGAGUCAACACAAUAAGCAUUCCGCCUGGGGAGUACGGCCGCAAGGUUGAAACUCAAAGGAAUUGACGGGG